rnacentral:rRNA from 1 species
CAGAGACCUCAAGCGUUAUCCGGAAUCAUUGGGCGUAAAGCGUACCGAUAGGUGGUUGUACAAGUCAGAAGUGAAAUCUCCGAGCUCAACUCGGAAUCUGUCUUUUGAAACUGUACGACUAGAGGGGCAAAGAGGAAGCUAGAACGAACGGUGUAGUAGUGAAAUGCGUUGAUAUCGUUCGGAAUACCGAUAGCGAAGGCAGGCUUCUGGGUGCCACCUGACACUGCUAGGACGAAAGCGUGGGGAGCGAAGGGGAUUAGAUACCCCCGUAGUCCACGCUGUAAACGAUGAUGAUUAGGUGCUAGGGAGUAUCGACCCUCCUUAGUGCCACAGCUAACGCGUUAAAUCAUCCGCCUGGGGAGUACGGCCGCAAGGCUA